GGUUAAGCGACUAAGCGUACACGGUGGAUGCCCUGGCAGUCAGAGGCGAUGAAGGACGUGCUAAUCUGCGAUAAGCGUCGGUAAGGUGAUAUGAACCGUUAUAACCGGCGAUUUCCGAAUGGGGAAACCCAGUGUGUUUCGACACACUAUCAUUAACUGAAUCCAUAGGUUAAUGAGGCGAACCGGGGGAACUGAAACAUCUAAGUACCCCGAGGAAAAGAAAUCAACCGAGAUUCCCCCAGUAGCGGCGAGCGAACGGGGAGCAGCCCAGAGCCUGAAUCAGUGUGUGUGUUAGUGGAAGCGUCUGGAAAGGCGCGCGAUACAGGGUGACAGCCCCGUACACAAAAAUGCACAUGCUGUGAGCUCGAUGAGUAGGGCGGGACACGUGGUAUCCUGUCUGAAUAUGGGGGGACCAUCCUCCAAGGCUAAAUACUCCUGACUGACCGAUAGUGAACCAGUACCGUGAGGGAAAGGCGAAAAGAACCCCGGCGAGGGGAGUGAAAAAGAACCUGAAACCGUGUACGUACAAGCAGUGGGAGCACAGAGCAAUCUGUGUGACUGCGUACCUUUUGUAUAAUGGGUCAGCGACUUAUAUUCUGUAGCAAGGUUAACCGAAUAGGGGAGCCGAAGGGAAACCGAGUCUUAACUGGGCGUUAAGUUGCAGGGUAUAGACCCGAAACCCGGUGAUCUAGCCAUGGGCAGGUUGAAGGUUGGGUAACACUAACUGGAGGACCGAACCGACUAAUGUUGAAAAAUUAGCGGAUGACUUGUGGCUGGGGGUGAAAGGCCAAUCAAACCGGGAGAUAGCUGGUUCUCCCCGAAAGCUAUUUAGGUAGCGCCUCGUGAAUUCAUCUCCGGGGGUAGAGCACUGUUUCGGCAAGGGGGUCAUCCCGACUUACCAACCCGAUGCAAACUGCGAAUACCGGAGAAUGUUAUCACGGGAGACACACGGCGGGUGCUAACGUCCGUCGUGAAGAGGGAAACAACCCAGACCGCCAGCUAAGGUCCCAAAGUCAUGGUUAAGUGGGAAACGAUGUGGGAAGGCCCAGACAGCCAGGAUGUUGGCUUAGAAGCAGCCAUCAUUUAAAGAAAGCGUAAUAGCUCACUGGUCGAGUCGGCCUGCGCGGAAGAUGUAACGGGGCUAAACCAUGCACCGAAGCUGCGGCAGCGACGCUUAUGCGUUGUUGGGUAGGGGAGCGUUCUGUAAGCCUGCGAAGGUGUGCUGUGAGGCAUGCUGGAGGUAUCAGAAGUGCGAAUGCUGACAUAAGUAACGAUAAAGCGGGUGAAAAGCCCGCUCGCCGGAAGACCAAGGGUUCCUGUCCAACGUUAAUCGGGGCAGGGUGAGUCGACCCCUAAGGCGAGGCCGAAAGGCGUAGUCGAUGGGAAACAGGUUAAUAUUCCUGUACUUGGUGUUACUGCGAAGGGGGGACGGAGAAGGCUAUGUUGGCCGGGCGACGGUUGUCCCGGUUUAAGCGUGUAGGCUGGUUUUCCAGGCAAAUCCGGAAAAUCAAGGCUGAGGCGUGAUGACGAGGCACUACGGUGCUGAAGCAACAAAUGCCCUGCUUCCAGGAAAAGCCUCUAAGCAUCAGGUAACAUCAAAUCGUACCCCAAACCGACACAGGUGGUCAGGUAGAGAAUACCAAGGCGCUUGAGAGAACUCGGGUGAAGGAACUAGGCAAAAUGGUGCCGUAACUUCGGGAGAAGGCACGCUGAUAUGUAGGUGAAGUCCCUCGCGGAUGGAGCUGAAAUCAGUCGAAGAUACCAGCUGGCUGCAACUGUUUAUUAAAAACACAGCACUGUGCAAACACGAAAGUGGACGUAUACGGUGUGACGCCUGCCCGGUGCCGGAAGGUUAAUUGAUGGGGUUAGCGGUAACGCGAAGCUCUUGAUCGAAGCCCCGGUAAACGGCGGCCGUAACUAUAACGGUCCUAAGGUAGCGAAAUUCCUUGUCGGGUAAGUUCCGACCUGCACGAAUGGCGUAAUGAUGGCCAGGCUGUCUCCACCCGAGACUCAGUGAAAUUGAACUCGCUGUGAAGAUGCAGUGUACCCGCGGCAAGACGGAAAGACCCCGUGAACCUUUACUAUAGCUUGACACUGAACAUUGAGCCUUGAUGUGUAGGAUAGGUGGGAGGCUUUGAAGUGUGGACGCCAGUCUGCAUGGAGCCGGCCUUGAAAUACCACCCUUUAAUGUUUGAUGUUCUAACGUUGGCCCCUGAUCGGGGUUGCGGACAGUGUCUGGUGGGUAGUUUGACUGGGGCGGUCUCCUCCUAAAGAGUAACGGAGGAGCACGAAGGUUGGCUAAUCCUGGUCGGACAUCAGGAGGUUAGUGCAAUGGCAUAAGCCAGCUUGACUGCGAGCGUGACGGCGCGAGCAGGUGCGAAAGCAGGUCAUAGUGAUCCGGUGGUUCUGAAUGGAAGGGCCAUCGCUCAACGGAUAAAAGGUACUCCGGGGAUAACAGGCUGAUACCGCCCAAGAGUUCAUAUCGACGGCGGUGUUUGGCACCUCGAUGUCGGCUCAUCACAUCCUGGGGCUGAAGUAGGUCCCAAGGGUAUGGCUGUUCGCCAUUUAAAGUGGUACGCGAGCUGGGUUUAGAACGUCGUGAGACAGUUCGGUCCCUAUCUGCCGUGGGCGCUGGAGAACUGAGGGGGGCUGCUCCUAGUACGAGAGGACCGGAGUGGACGCAUCACUGGUGUUCGGGUUGUCAUGCCAAUGGCACUGCCCGGUAGCUAAAUGCGGAAGAGAUAAGUGCUGAAAGCAUCUAAGCACGAAACUUGCCCCGAGAUGAGUUCUCCCUGACUCCUUGAGAGUCCUGAAGGAACGUUGAAGACGACGACGUUGAUAGGCCGGGUGUGUAAGCGCAGCGAUGCGUUGAGCUAACCGGUACUAAUGAACCGUGAGGCUUAACCUU
rnacentral:rRNA from 1 species